GAGUGUGUGUGUGUGUGUGUGUGUGUGUCUGUCUGUCUGUCAGUGAAUGUGUGUGUCACACACACAUUCACUGACAGACAGACACACACACACAUUCACU
rnacentral:miRNA from 1 species